GGCACUACGGUGCUGAAGCAACAAAUGCCCUGCUUCCAGGAAAAGCCUCUAAGCAUCAGGUAACAUCAAAUCGUACCCCAAACCGACACAGGUGGUCAGGUAGAGAAUACCAAGGCGCUUGAGAGAACUCGGGUGAAGGAACUAGGCAAAAUGGUGCCGUAACUUCGGGAGAAGGCACGCUGAUAUGUAGGUGAAGUCCCUCGCGGAUGGAGCUGAAAUCAGUCGAAGAUACCAGCUGGCUGCAACUGUUUAUUAAAAACACAGCACUGUGCAAACACGAAAGUGGACGUAUACGGUGUGACGCCUGCCCGGUGCCGGAAGG
rnacentral:rRNA from 1 species